rnacentral:rRNA from 1 species
GACAGAGGGUGCAAACGUUGCUCGGAAUUACUGGGCGUAAAGCGCGUGUAGGUGGAUUGGUGUGUCAGAUGUGAAAUCCCUGGGCUCAACCCAGGAACUGCACCUGAAACUACCAGUCUUGAGUGGUGGAGAGGGAAGUGGAAUUCCUGGUGUAGAGGUGAAAUGCGUAGAUAUCUGGAGGAACACCGGUGGCGAAGGCGACAUCCUGGACCGACACUGACACUGAGGAGCGAAAGCCAGGGGAGCAAACGGG